UACAGAGGUCUCAAGCGUUGUUCGGAUUCAUUGGGGCGUAAAGGGUGCGUAGGCGGCGCGGUAAGUCGGGUGUGAAAUCUCGGAGCUUAACUCCGAAACUGCAUUCGAUACUGCCGUGCUUGAGGACUGGAGAGGAGACUGGAAAUUUACGGUGUAGCGGUGAAAUGCGUAGAUAUCGUAAGGAAGACCAGUGGCGAAGGCGGGUCUC
rnacentral:rRNA from 1 species